rnacentral:rRNA from 1 species
AGAGGCCCGGUAAUCUUAGAAACCGCAUCGUGAUGGGGAUAGAUUAUGCAAUUAUUAGUCUUCAACGAGGAAUGCCUAGUAAGCGCAAGUCAUCAGCUUGCGUUGAUUACGUCCCUGCCCUUUGUACACACCGCCCGUCGCUCCUACCGAUUGGGUGUGCUGGUGAAGUGUCCGGAUUGGGUUCAGCUGAUGGCAACAUCGGCUGUUUCUAAGAAGGUCAUUAAACCCUCCCACCUAGAGGAAGGAGAAGUCGUAACAAGGUUUCCGUAGGUGAACCUGCGGAAGGAUCAUUG